AUUGAACGCUGGCGGCAGGCCUAACACAUGCAAGUCGAACGGUAACAGGAAGCAGCUUGCUGCUUCGCUGACGAGUGGCGGACGGGAGAGAAAUGUCUGGGAAACUGCCUGAUGGAGGGGGAUAACUACUGGAAACGGUAGCUAAUACCGCAUAACGUCGCAAGACCAAAGAGGGGGACCUUAGGGCCUCUUGCCAUCGGAUGUGCCCAGAUGGGAUUAGCUAGUAGGUGGGGUAACGGCUCACCUAGGCGACGAUCCCUAGCUGGUCUGAGAGGAUGACCAGCCACACUGGAACUGAGACACGGCCCAGACUCCUACGGGAGGCAGCAGUGGGGAAUAUUGCACAAUGGGCGCAAACCUGAUGCAGCCAUGCCGCGUGUAUGAAGAAGGCCUUCGGGUUGUAAAGUACUUUCAGCGGGGAGGAAGGGAGUAAAGUUAAUACCUUGGCUCAUUGACGUUACCCGCAGAAGAAGCACCGGCUAACUCCGUG
rnacentral:rRNA from 1 species